GGGUUGUGAGGUUAAGCGACUAAGCGUACACGGUGGAUGCCCUGGCAGUCAGAGGCGAUGAAGGGCGUGCUAAUCUGCGAUAAGCGCCGGUAAGGUGAUAUGAACCGUUAUAACCGGCGAUACCCGAAUGGGGAAACCCAGUGUGAUUCGUCACACUAUCAUUAACUGAAUCCAUAGGUUAAUGAGGCGAACCGGGGGAACUGAAACAUCUAAGUACCCCGAGGAAAAGAAAUCAACCGAGAUUCCCCCAGUAGCGGCGAGCGAACGGGGAGGAGCCCAGAGCCUGAAUCAGCAUGUGUGUUAGUGGAAGCGUCUGGAAAGGCGCGCGAUACAGGGUGACAGCCCCGUACACAAAAGCGCAUGUGCUGUGAGCUCGAUGAGUAGGGCGGGACACGUGGUAUCCUGUCUGAAUAUGGGGGGACCAUCCUCCAAGGCUAAAUACUCCUGACUGACCGAUAGUGAACCAGUACCGUGAGGGAAAGGCGAAAAGAACCCCGGCGAGGGGAGUGAAAAAGAACCUGAAACCGUGUACGUACAAGCAGUGGGAGCACCCUUCGGGGUGUGACUGCGUACCUUUUGUAUAAUGGGUCAGCGACUUAUAUUCUGUAGCAAGGUUAACCGUAUAGGGGAGCCGGAGGGAAACCGAGUCUUAAUUGGGCGUUAAGUUGCAGGGUAUAGACCCGAAACCCGGUGAUCUAGCCAUGGGCAGGUUGAAGGUUGGGUAACACUAACUGGAGGACCGAACCGACUAAUGUUGAAAAAUUAGCGGAUGACCUGUGGCUGGGGGUGAAAGGCCAAUCAAACCGGGAGAUAGCUGGUUCUCCCCGAAAGCUAUUUAGGUAGCGCCUCGUGAAUUCAUCUCCGGGGGUAGAGCACUGUUUCGGCUAGGGGGCCAUCCCGGCUUACCAACCCGAUGCAAACUGCGAAUACCGGAGAAUGUUAUCACGGGAGACACACGGCGGGUGCUAACGUCCGUCGUGAAGAGGGAAACAACCCAGACCGCCAGCUAAGGUCCCAAAGUCAUGGUUAAGUGGGAAACGAUGUGGGAAGGCCCAGACAGCCAGGAUGUUGGCUUAGAAGCAGCCAUCAUUUAAAGAAAGCGUAAUAGCUCACUGGUCGAGUCGGCCUGCGCGGAAGAUGUAACGGGGCUAAACCAUGCACCGAAGCUGCGGCAGCGAACGUAUCACCCAAGACAACUUUACGGAGUUGACGAUUGACGGAGCGAAGCGACGUCAAAGCGUUCAUUAAAGUCGAGUUGGCUUAGGGAUACGUUCGUUGGGUAGGGGAGCGUUCUGUAAGCCUGUGAAGGUGUGUCGUGAGGCAUGCUGGAGGUAUCAGAAGUGCGAAUGCUGACAUAAGUAACGAUAAAGCGGGUGAAAAGCCCGCUCGCCGGAAGACCAAGGGUUCCUGUCCAACGUUAAUCGGGGCAGGGUGAGUCGACCCCUAAGGCGAGGCCGAAAGGCGUAGUCGAUGGGAAACGGGUUAAUAUUCCCGUACUUGGUGUUACUGCGAAGGGGGGACGGAGAAGGCUAUGUUGGCCGGGCGACGGUUGUCCCGGUUUAAGGGUGUAGGUGUGUGUUCCAGGUAAAUCCGGUUCACUUUAACACUGAGGCGUGACGACGAGGCACUACGGUGCUGAAGCAACAAAUGCCCUGCUUCCAGGAAAAGCCUCUAAGCAUCAGGUAACACGAAAUCGUACCCCAAACCGACACAGGUGGUCAGGUAGAGAAUACCAAGGCGCUUGAGAGAACUCGGGUGAAGGAACUAGGCAAAAUGGUGCCGUAACUUCGGGAGAAGGCACGCUGACACGUAGGUGAAGUGAUUUACUCAUGGAGCUGAAGUCAGUCGAAGAUACCAGCUGGCUGCAACUGUUUAUUAAAAACACAGCACUGUGCAAACACGAAAGUGGACGUAUACGGUGUGACGCCUGCCCGGUGCCGGAAGGUUAAUUGAUGGGGUCAGCGUAAGCGAAGCUCCUGAUCGAAGCCCCGGUAAACGGCGGCCGUAACUAUAACGGUCCUAAGGUAGCGAAAUUCCUUGUCGGGUAAGUUCCGACCUGCACGAAUGGCGUAAUGAUGGCCAGGCUGUCUCCACCCGAGACUCAGUGAAAUUGAACUCGCUGUGAAGAUGCAGUGUACCCGCGGCAAGACGGAAAGACCCCGUGAACCUUUACUAUAGCUUGACACUGAACAUUGAGCCUUGAUGUGUAGGAUAGGUGGGAGGCUUUGAAGUGUGGACGCCAGUCUGCAUGGAGCCGACCUUGAAAUACCACCCUUUAAUGUUUGAUGUUCUAACGUGGACCCGUAAUCCGGGUUGCGGACAGUGUCUGGUGGGUAGUUUGACUGGGGCGGUCUCCUCCUAAAGAGUAACGGAGGAGCACGAAGGUUGGCUAAUCCUGGUCGGACAUCAGGAGGUUAGUGCAAUGGCAUAAGCCAGCUUGACUGCGAGCGUGACGGCGCGAGCAGGUGCGAAAGCAGGUCAUAGUGAUCCGGUGGUUCUGAAUGGAAGGGCCAUCGCUCAACGGAUAAAAGGUACUCCGGGGAUAACAGGCUGAUACCGCCCAAGAGUUCAUAUCGACGGCGGUGUUUGGCACCUCGAUGUCGGCUCAUCACAUCCUGGGGCUGAAGUAGGUCCCAAGGGUAUGGCUGUUCGCCAUUUAAAGUGGUACGCGAGCUGGGUUUAGAACGUCGUGAGACAGUUCGGUCCCUAUCUGCCGUGGGCGCUGGAGAACUGAGGGGGGCUGCUCCUAGUACGAGAGGACCGGAGUGGACGCAUCACUGGUGUUCGGGUUGUCAUGCCAAUGGCACUGCCCGGUAGCUAAAUGCGGAAGAGAUAAGUGCUGAAAGCAUCUAAGCACGAAACUUGCCCCGAGAUGAGUUCUCCCUGAGACUUAGAGUCUCCUGAAGGAACGUUGAAGACGACGACGUUGAUAGGCCGGGUGUGUAAGCGCAGCGAUGCGUUGAGCUAACCGGUACUAAUGAACCGUGAGGCUUAACCUUACAACGCCGAAG
rnacentral:rRNA from 1 species